rnacentral:rRNA from 1 species
UGGGGAAUAUUGGACAAUGGGCGCAAGCCAGAUGCAGCAACGCCGCGUGAGGGACGACGGCCUUCGGGUUGUAAACCUCUUUUAGCAAGGAAGAAGCGAAAGUGACGGUACUUGCAGAAAAAGCGCCGGCUAACUACGUGCCAGCAGCCGCGGUAAUACGUAGGGCGCAAGCGUUAUCCGGAAUUAUUGGGCGUAAAGAGCUCGUAGGCGGUUUGUCGCGUCUGCUGUGAAAAACCCGAGGCUCAACCUCGGGCCUGCAGUGGGUACGGGCAGACUAGAGUGCGGUAGGGGAGAUUGGAACUCCUGGUGUAGCGGUGGAAUGCGCAGAUAUCAGGAAGAACACCGAUGGCGAAGGCAGAUCUCUGGGCCGUAACUGACGCUGAGGAGCGAAAGGGUGGGGAGCAAACAGGCUUAGAUACCCUGGUAGUCCACCCCGUAAACGUUGGGAACUAGUUGUGGGGUCCAUUCCACGGAUUCCGUGACGCAGCUAACGCAUUAAGUUCCCCGCCUGGGGGAGUACGGCCGCAAGGCUAAAACU